rfam:Trichobilharzia regenti genome assembly, scaffold: TRE_scaffold0033351
AUCCAGAUGACGAGUCCCAAAUAAGACGAAAUACACAUCCUGGAU